CCCAGCCCUUCGGUCUCACCCCAUCACAUGCUUCCAGGGGCCCUUCAGCCUCUGCAAAAGCCCCACAGGCAGACGUGAGAAGAGAACCUCAGUCACCCAGCCUCAGCCACAGAUGGAAGGAUGCACGGUCCCAGCUCUGACCACCUCCCCCUGCGGACCGGACGGCAGAGCAGGAUUCCCCUGCAGCCUUCUGCGGUGCCCUUCCAGUCCCAGCUCUCCCCAUCCGCAGGUCACAUCCAUUCAGCUUGCUAAUGGUGUUCAGCAGACCCGCACUUGGGAGAGCCCAGGAAGUCGGAAACAGGCCGGUGCCCUCGCACCAGGACGCUCCUUGGUGCUGCGGAGAAGUGAUGGGCAUCUCUCCAUCCAGACUCCUAGAAGCACAGAGUGA
rnacentral:lncRNA from 1 species